rnacentral:rRNA from 1 species
CAGUGACCCAGUUCACCGGCCGCGGUAUCCUAACCGUGCGAAGGUAGCGUAAUCACUUGUUCUUUAAAUAAGGACUAGUAUGAACGGCAUCACGAGGGUUAUGCUGUCUCUUUUUCCCAUAAGUGAAACUAAUUUCCCCGUGAAGAAGCGGGGAUAAAAUUAUAAGACGAGAAGACCCUAUGGAGCUUCAACAACACAACAAAUGCCAAACAACUUAAAAAUUUCAUAACUCCAAAUUUACUCAGCAUUAUGAUUGUUAGUUUUAGGUUGGGGUGACCGCGGAGCAAACACAACCUCCACAUUGAAAGAAUUUAUUCUAAGCCAAGAACACAACUCAAAGCAUCUAUAUAUUGACUUAAUUGACCCAUAACUUGAACACGAACCAGUUCCCUAGGGAUACAGCGCAUCUACUUCAGAGCCCUAUCGACAGUAGGUUACGACCUCGAUUUUGAUCAGGUCUCCAGUGGUGCACCGCUACUAAAGUUCGUUGUUCACGAUAAUACCUAC